CCAAUGGCUGUCUAGGCAUGCUGGGAGUUGUAGUCUGCAACAGCUGGGGGUCUGCAGUUUGGAAACCACUAAUAUAAAGUCUCAAUCUUUGUACAUUCUAGAGAUAAUUCCAGUUAAUCCAAUGGCUGUCCAGGCAUGCUGGGAGUUGUAGUCUGCAACAGCUGGGGGUCUGCAGUUUGGAAAGCACUGAUAUAAAGUCUCAAUCUUUGUACAUUUUAGAGAUGAUUCCAGUUACUCCAAUGGCUGUCUAGGCACGCAGGGAGUUGUAGUUUUGCAACAGCUGGAGGGUCGCAGUUUAGAAACCACUAAUAUAAAGUCUCAACCUUUGCACAUCUUAGAGAUGAUUCCAGUUAAUCCAACAGCUGUCCAGACAUGCUGGGAGUUGUAGUCUGCAAAAGCUGGAGGGUCGCAGUUUGGAAACCACUGAUAAAAAGUCUCAACCUUUGUACAUUCUAGAGAUGAUUCCAGUUACUCCAAUGGCUGUCUAGGCACGCAGGGAGUUGUAGUUUUGCAACAGCUGGAGGUCCACAGUUUGGAAACCAUUGAUAGAGAGUGACAGCCUUUGUACAUUUUUUAGAUGAUCCCAGUUAAUUCAAUGUCUGUCCGGGCAUGCUGGAAGUUGUAGUUUUGCAACAGCUGGGGGUACGCAGUUUAGAAACCACUCAUAUAAAGGCUCAACCUUUGUACAUUCUUGAAAUUAUUCCAGUUACUCCAACGCUGUCUAUGCAUGCUGGGAUUUGUAGUUCUGCAACAACUGGAGGUCCACAGUUAUGAAACCACUGAUAGAGAGUAACAGCCUGUGUACUUUCUAGAGAUGAUUACAGUUACUCCUACUGCUGUUUGGGCAUGCUGAGAGUUGUAGUACUGCAACAGCUGGAGGUCCACAAUUUGGAAACCAUUGAUAGAGAGUAACAACCUUUGUACAUUUUUUAGAUGAUUCCAGUUACUUAAUUGGCUGUCUGGGCAUGCUGGGAGUCGUAGUUCUGCAACAGCUGGAGGUCCUCAGUUUGGAAACCAUUGAUAAAGAGUCUCAACCUAUGUACAUUUUUUAGAUGAUUCCAGUUACUUCAACAGCUGUCCGGGCAUGCUGAGAGUUGUAGUAUUGCAACAGCUGGAGGUCCACAGUUUGGAGACCACUGAUACAGAGACUCAACCUUUGUACAUUCUUGAGAUGAUUCCAGUUACACCAACAGUUUUCCGGGCAACAGCUGGAGACAUAUGAGUCUCAAUACGUCAUAUAUCCAGAUAAAAGACCCGAGAAGCUUCUCUUAUAUAAAUCACGAUGUGCAUCUUCUUAGAUUGCUAGUGGUCCUUGAAGCCUUGAGAGCUCCAGUUCUACAAGGAUUUCCAUGGUGAAGACUGAGCUCUGCAGGACGGAUGUGAAAGUCUAUCUAAUGUGUGUUUAUGCAUAUUGAUGCCUUUCUGAGCCAAGUUAAUUCCUCUCCAUUGAAACACUCAUCAUACUUCUUACAAACCUUUUAUGAGAUUCAAGGUUUCCUGGUACGCGCGUCCUUCCCUCCCCCUCCGUAACGCUCAGGGGAUUUUCGAAGGCUACUCAGUUUAAUUAAAAUAACUGCAUCGUGUUAAUUGAUAUGACAAGGAACAUCAACAGAAAUAUCCAAUAAAGACAGACAGAAUUUCUGUACACCAGUUGUAAGUCAAUGAAAUGACAAUGAGCACAUUAAUAUAAAAGCUACUUAGUCAAUAGAAUAGUAAUAGGAUAGUAAGACUACUAGAGGGGAAAAAUAGCUUUGUGUGUCUAUUUUCAUACGGAACCCAGGGCGUUCUCACUUCUAAGGCUGCUUGAGUGUACAACAACUCAGUGGUUGAUAUAUUUGUUCUGUAUUUCAGAUUCACAGGAUAAUGAAGAUGGCUUUUGAGCGUACAAAGGACAAUAAAUGACUACUUUGCACUCAAUAAAUGCCAAGGCUUCAGGCAGCUGCAUCAGCACCAAACUGUGCUCUGAAAAAAAAAAAAAAAAAAGCUUAAUUAUCAUUAUAUGAUAGUAAAAAGCUGGUGGCAGUGUUAUUUAACCAAAUAAUCUCUCCCUCGUCUAGUCUCUGCGAAUAAAAUAGAAGAACGUCGUCUAUAUGUUAUGAUGGCGGAUCCUCUGAAGGUACGGGACAGCCGUUUAGGCUCGCUCGAUCUGAUCGAGAUGGUUGUUACAGUGGGGCCAUAAAUGUGUCAGAAGCAUCCAUUGAAAUAAUUGCAUUUGUUUUAUUAGUUAUUUAAUUGAAGAAUUCAUACAUUCUAUAAAAAACCAAAGUGCUGGCUGCAUUACAUCACCCCGUGACA